rnacentral:rRNA from 1 species
UACGGAGGAUCCGAGCGUUAUCCGGAAUCAUUGGGUUUAAAGGGUCUGUAGGCGGGCUGAUAAGUCAGCGGUGAAAGUCUGUCGCUUAACGAUAGAAUUGCCGUUGAUACUGUUGGUCUUGAGUCAUUAUGAAGUGGUUAGAAUGAGUAGUGUAGCGGUGAAAUGCAUAGAUAUUACUCAGAAUACCGAUUGCGAAGGCAGAUCACUAAUAAUGUACUGACGCUGAGGGACGAAAGCGUGGGGAGCGAACAGG